GGACAAGGCCACAAACAAACAGCUGUGCUGAGGUUCCUUUUUCAGAAAGGCCAAUUGGCCUUCUCUUCCAGGGUCUUUGCUGAAGGGGAGUUAUGUAUGAGAACCUAGAGGAAACAUUUGCUACCUGCACUUGUUUCAUGAAGCCCCUCUGAUGAAGGCCCCACUGUCAGGGCUCAAGCCAAGGUACACAACAGCUCCAGAGACAGAGAACUGGGAACUUGUCCUGGUCACCUGAGCAGAGGCCUAAGAAACUCAGGAACUGGUGUUUGGACUCAUACCACCUUCUCCACGUUGGCUACAGCCAAGCUAUGCCACAUCUCUGCACCCCAGCUGAACAAUCCUCAUGCUUCCCAUCUGUCCUCACAAAGUCCUAUCGCUUCUCUCCCCCUGCUUAGAGCUUCCCCAGCCCCCACUGCACUGCCUGGGAGCAAGGGACAAGAGCCACCUGCAGGACCCUCCAUCCAGCGCAGUACUAACGGGCAGCCCUAGGAAAAGAUGUCUCCCAACGCUCAGUAUCCUUCCUAACAAAGGAGCUCAAGUCACA